AUUGAACGCUGGCGGCAGGCUUAACACAUGCAAGUCGAGCGGAGUGAUGGUGCUUGCACUAUCACUUAGCGGCGGACGGGUGAGUAAUGCUUAGGAAUCUGCCUAUUAGUGGGGGACAACAUCUCGAAAGGGAUGCUAAUACCGCAUACGUCCUACGGGAGAAAGCAGGGGAUCACUUGUGACCUUGCGCUAAUAGAUGAGCCUAAGUCGGAUUAGCUAGUUGGUGGGGUAAAGGCCUACCAAGGCGACGAUCUGUAGCGGGUCUGAGAGGAUGAUCCGCCACACUGGGACUGAGACACGGCCCAGACUCCUACGGGAGGCAGCAGUGGGGAAUAUUGGACAAUGGGGGGAACCCUGAUCCAGCCAUGCCGCGUGUGUGAAGAAGGCCUUAUGGUUGUAAAGCACUUUAAGCGAGGAGGAGGCUCUUUUGGUUAAUACCCAAGAUGAGUGGACGUUACUCGCAGGAUAAGCACCGGCUAACUCUGUGCCAGCCGCCGCAGUAACAC
rnacentral:rRNA from 1 species